ensembl:lncRNA
GUAGACACAAAUAGACAAUCUCAAGAUUCUCUGCUCCCGCAUACUACACCAUGGGGAAGGAGGGGAGAGAAGAGAUCAUCUCAAUUUCUUGAGCUUCAGGUAUCCUUAUAACAGAAAGGAAAAGGAAGAUUUGAGUUACAGACACAGAGGAAGAGGUGAUGGGAAGAUGGAGGCAGAAACUGGAGCAAGGCAUCUUACACAAGCCAAGCAACGCCAAGGUUUGCUGGCAGCCGCCAGAAACUAGAAGAGAGGAAUGGAAAGAACUUACCCUCAGAGCCUCCAGAAGGAACCAACCCUGCUGACACGCUGGCCUGCAAAACUGGGAGAGAACAAGUUUCUGUUGUUUAAAGCCACCUGGUUUGUAGCAAUUUGUUAUGGCAGCUCUGGGAACCUAAUAAAAGUCAAAACUCAAACCUGGCUCUUAGGAGUUCACACUUUGACUGAAAUACUACAUCGAAUGAAGACUGCUUAAAACCCGGACUACAGAUGAAUAGAG